rnacentral:rRNA from 1 species
AUGAGCACUUACACCGAGUCAUGGAGUAUUCAGAUACAGUCAAGUACCAUGGAGUUCCUCAAGAUGCAAUCAUGUGCAGGUUGUUCACAUUCUCUCUUCGCGAUAAUGCUUGUGCUUGGUAUCAAUCCUUGCCAUCAAGGUCAUACAGUUGGAAUGAGAUAUCACAAGCUUUCUUGGAUAAAUAUUUCCCACUACACAAAUAGUCGGCAAUUCAAGAUGAGAUCUUCAAUUUCGUUCAGCGUGAAGGCGAGAGCUUGUAUGAUGCUUGGGAGAGAUACAAAGGCUUAUUCAAGAGAUGUCCUAAUCAUGGGCUCUAGAGAUGGUUAG